rnacentral:rRNA from 1 species
GACGAACGCUGGCGGCGUGCUUAACACAUGCAAGUCGAACGGAAAGGCCCUGAUUUUGUGGGGUGCUCGAGUGGCGAACGGGUGAGUAACACGUGAGUAACCUGCCCUUGACUUUGGGAUAACUUCAGGAAACUGGGGCUAAUACCGGAUAGGAUCUCCUGCUGCAUGGUGGGGGUUGGAACGUUUCGGCGGUUGGGGAUGGACUCGCGGCUUAUCAGCUUGUUGGUCGGGUAGUCGCUUACCAAGCCUUUGACGGGUAGCCGGCCUGAGAGGGUGACCGGCCACAUUGCGCCUGAGAUACGGCGCAGACUCCUAUGGGAGACAGCAGUGGGGAGCAUUGCACAAUGAGAGGGAGCGUGAGACAGCGGCGCCGCGGGCGGAAUGACGGCCUUCUGGUUGAAAACAGCUGUCGCCUGUGACGAAGCGUGAGUGACGGUAAUGGGUAAAGAAGCACCGGCUAACUACGUG